CAACGGACACCCAUCCAUCCAUCCAUUCAUUUUCUAGACCCGCCUUAUCCUUUGCAGGGUCACGGGGGUCUGAUGGAGCAUAUCCCAGCUAAUUACAGAUGUUCACCCUGUACAGUUCACCAAUCCACCAAAGGACACCCACCCACACAGACACCAACAUACACUCACUGACAAAUCCAUGAACAAUCAUUCACCACUCCCAUCUCCCCCUCUGUUUCCAGGACUCCCAACUUUAUUGGAAUCGCUGUUAUAUAUAUAUACAUAUAUACAUAUGUAUAUUAUAUAUAUACAUUUUUUUUAAUGUAUUUUGUUUCAACAUCUCUAUAACAAAGUCACUCACUUCAGAAAAAUCCAGUUAUCAGCUUUGUUAAAUGACAGGAUACAUCUUACAUAAAAAAGAUUAUAAAAACAUGAUUCACCAUUUUUUAUUUCUUUAUUUGUCAUCAACAAUUGAUAAAACACUAUCAUUUCUCUUUCUAUGAAUUAAACUAUCACCUAAUCAGUAAUAAAGCUUCAGUUUUUAGUGUGUGUAUAAAUCUGUAUUUAAAGGAAAAGCUACAUCAAAUACAUUUCCAUGUAAAUAGCAUAUAACAUUAAAUCAGCUGAGAUGAUGUGCAGAGUGAUGAGUUUGGUAGCGACAACAUAUUCACAAACUUCUAUAUCAUGCAUGAUCUUAAACUGUCCAUUAGCCGAAUAACAUUUGUCCAUGUUCUGUUUUGUGUUAAAUCCACUUAUACAGCAGAAAUAAAGUCCUCAUGAAAAGUGUAAUGAUGCAAGAAAAGGUUGAAAUAUUAGCUUCAAGACACUCAAAAAUAUAUCUAUAAAAAAUAUGUUUACAUACAUGUAACAAACACUUAUGAAGACAUCUGAUAUAUAUUAGACUAUAGAUAUAUUUUAACCCUCUGAUGCACAACAUGGGUCAAAAGUGACCCGACAGAGAUUUUAUGUUCUUUAUCUUUGUAAUUGAUUAGUUUUAUCUUUUGGUCUUCCAGGUAUUCCUCAAUUAACUUGUUUUUUUUAUCAGUUAACAUCCUUAUUUUAUUAUUUGUUGUCUUACUUUUUGAAUAAAAACGUUUUUUGUAUAACUACACUUCUAAUGCACAACAUGGGUCAAAAAUGACCCACAUUCAUUUUCUGUGUUAUUUCAUGUAUGGCUGAGUGUUGCUUUGCUCUGCCUUUGAAAUACAUGUGUUUUAUCAUCCACUAUCCCAUGUAUACAGUAAAUAACAGGUUUCUAUUCAGCACUAGUCAUCAUUUUUAUGUUUCUUUUCUUACUUUGUGAACAUUCACAACUUUUGUAUUCCUACAUCAACAUCAACACACAUGCACAUGCACCUGCAUGUGCACAUGCAUGUGCACCUGGUAGGAACCUUUGACCAUGUUUGAAAUUAGGAAUAUAAUGACUGCGGACAUCUGCUAAUCACCACCUGCUCAGCACAACUGCCUCUAGUAAAGUACUGCUUGCAGAUUUACAGCUGAAAUGGUUCUGAGAAUGUUGGAUGAAGAACCAGAUGAGGAUGCUAUUGGAAGUGAUUUUGAGUCUGAAUUUUGUGGCCUUGCGGGAGCUGUUUCUAGAUCUGCAACAAAAUCCAAUGUAAAAGCCCACUAUGGGGCUCAGGAGAUAUGAAGAUAUCCGGCACUUCAUACAUUUUGAUGACAAGAGGACCAGGGCAUUGCGUCAGGGAACAGACCACUAUCAGUUCUAUUUUAUUUUACUUUGGUCAACGCAUCAUUUUAUUUUUAGUUAUCUAUUGUCAGAUGUGUUUGUGUGUUCCAAAGUGAGAAACAUGUUUCAAAAGUUACACAAAAGUUACUUUUAUGAAUGUUUGGUCCAAAUCACAACUAAAAUAGUUAUUUGAAGAAAAAUAUUGUUAUUAUAUGCCUUCAUUUAUCAUUAAAUCAUACUUGGAUAAACGGGUCAUUUUUGAUCCAUCUGUGUAAACUUGAUAUAGUAAUACAAAAAUGAAGUAUAUUCAAAAAAUAAGGCUGGAAACAUAUAAAUUUUACCUGCUAUUGUUUAUGUAAUAAUUGCUCAAGGAUCAUGUUCUUGCGCCCCUGGAAAGCACCUAGAGGCAACUUGUGUUGUAAUAGACGCUACAUAAAUAACAUUGAAUGGAAUUGAACUCCAUCAUCCAUUCAAUAAUUAAUUUUCUUUUCCCAUUUUAUCCUGUGCAGGGUCACGGUGAACUACAUCGUCAUGUUAACAAUAAUAUAUUGUUAGUAGUAGCAGUAGUAAGAAUAAAAUCCAUACAACAAACUUAAUGGUUAAUCUAUUUCUAGUACUAUAUUGAUCUAAAAGAUCUUGUAUUUGACUGACAGCAGCCAUGUUUUCUCUACAGUUCAGUAGUCCUGGUACAGUCUCGUGGAAGAGGACAUCAACAUCCAGGACAACAUUCCUGAAGGUCUCAGACCACCUUCUCCCACCGGCUGAGUAGUCGACAUCCCGGGUGUGAUGCAUCAGGACCAGAAUGAUCUUUUUAUCCCUUGCUGACUCUAGAAAAUAAGAAAAUGGAGAUUAUUUGGAUCUUAAUGGGUUAGCAUGAAGCUAACUGUGGUGAGCCAACUCGUGUAUCAGCUGGAACACAGUACCUGAAACCUCCCUCAUGGCUGCUUCCACAUCUGACCCAACAGAAGAGCUGAUUGGACAGAAGACAAUGAUGACAUCGCUGUCCUGUUGGCUUGUUUGCUUCACACGAAGGCCAGUUCUCAGUUGUGUCAGCAGAUCUUCAUCUGCCCCAAAUGUUUGUCCUCUAUUGAUUGUGUGAACCUUAACUGUAGACAUGCAAGAAACAGAAGGAAAAAGAUAGAGACUAUAAAUGUGUAUACAAAUAAAAUAUCAAUCAGGAAAAACAUGUACAGAUCAGAAAAACAUCUCUGCAAGCAGGAUUUGUAUUAAGUAAAGACACUCACCCACACCCCUGGGCAACAUGUUGUGGCUUCCUAAAAAGAUAUAAAUCAGUAUUAUUUUAUAUUCAUAGACAUGAUAUUCAGUUGAUGUCAAGUUUGUAGAAAAAUAAGAGAAGCUGUUUUCUGUGGGGACUGAGGGAGGAAACUAGCAUUUGCUAGAAUCCGGUGUAUUUAGACUGCUUAAUGUAGUGUUCAUUAAUAUGCAUUGACCCGUCUAAAAAAUAAACUUAAACAGUAUCCUGACACGUUACAAAUUGUCAUCAUGGCACAUUUGUGUAAGUUAGAGCUGCACUCCCGGCCCAGCAGCAGAGGCCGCUCCCUGUCUGUAGGGACAGUUGAUACCCGGCAAUAAAGCACAUGUAAACUAGAAAGAAUACGCUCAUCUCUCUCGUGUUCAAACAGUUUAAAACCAAACUAAACACAUAACAAGCGUCACGAUAACGAAAUAA